rnacentral:rRNA from 1 species
UAGGGAAUCUUCGGCAAUGGACGAAAGUCUGACCGAGCAACGCCGCGUGAGUGAAGAAGGUUUUCGGAUCGUAAAACUCUGUUGUUUGAGAAGAACAAGGAUGUUAGUAACUGAACGUCCCCUGACGGUAUCUAACCAGAAAGCCACGGCUAACUACGUGCCAGCAGCCGCGGUAAUACGUAGGUGGCAAGCGUUGUCCGGAUUUAGUGGGCGUAAAGCGAGCGCAGGCGGUUUCUUAAGUCUGAUGUGAAAGCCCCCGGCUCAACCGGGGAGGGUCAUUAGAAACUGGGAGACUUGAGUGCAGAAGAGGAGAGUGUAAUUCCAUGUGUAGCGGUGAAGUGCGUAGAUAUAUGGAGAAACACCAGUGGCGAAGGCGGCUCUCUGGUCUGUAACUGACGCUGAGGCUCGAAAGCGUGGGGAGCAAACAGG